ACAGCCGAAACCCUCACCCCACCAGCCAACUCACCAUGAUAAGGAGCUGCACAGCUCCCGCCGGAAGUCGUUCUAGGUGCUCGUGUUUUCCCAGAACGGAAGGGGUGGGACACCAGAGGGCGAUUGGUGUAAAGAAGGCAUGGAAGGAAGUGCGUGCCCUGGCGUCCGGGUCCUGCCUCCUUCCCGGCGGCCCCUGCACUCCCUGGCGGUAGGCGGCUAGAGUGGCUCCCUCUGAACCCGCUGAGGGAUUGGUCGGGACUUCAAGCGUUGAGGCUAAGGGCAAGGCAAGGAGCAAUGAGGAGUUUUUCGUUAUGUUAGAAAAAUUUCGUUGAGUGCUGAGACGCUUUUACAUUGUUUUAUGAUUUAGCCUUAAGAAAACAGUAUUCUAGUUUUACAAGUGAGGAAAGAAGAAGAUUAAGAAAUUUGCCUCGGCUGGACGCCGUGGCUCACUCCUGUAAUCCCAGUACUUUCGAUGGCGAGGCAGGCGGAUCAUUUGAGAGUCUCGCUGUGUCGCCAGGCUCCAGGCUGGACUGCAGUGGCGCGAUCUCGGCUCCCUGCAACCUCCACCUCCCGCGUUCAAGCAAUUCUGCCUCAGCCUCCCGAGUAGCUGGGACUACAGGCGCCCUGCCACCACGCCCGGCUAAUUUUUGUAGUUUUUAGUAGAGACAGGGUUUCACCAUGUGGCCAGGAUGGUCUCGAUUUCUUGACCUCAUGAUCCGCCUGCCUCCACCUCCCAAGGUACUGGGUACAGGCGUGAGCCACUGUGCCCGGCGAACUACAACUUUUCACGUGUGGUCAGUAAGUGCCUUCUGAAAAUGUCAGUCUUCACAGUCAUGCUAGAAGAAACAGGCAAAAUACUUAUAUCUGUGCUUGAAAUGGCAUUUUAAAUCAGACAUAGGAAGGAAUGGGAAGAGGAAAAUUGCCACUAACUAUACUUUAAGACCAAACCAACAUUAGAAGUCCUUAAGGGAGGCGUGAAGUCACAAGGGAAAGAGUUGAUGACCAACUAUUUCUUCUGUCCAUAGAAAUCCUUUUACUUUAUGUCUUCUCUAGUAAAACCUUAUAAGUUUUGUAUCACAUAUGAAUAAAAAAGACAGUUGUUUUAUAGCCUAA